rnacentral:lncRNA from 1 species
UAGACAAUAAGAAAAUAUUCGAGUCCACUUAUAUAAAAUUUGAUAUUUACAGUUAAGUCUACGGUAAUUAUGAUCUCCCGAAAAUAAAAGUCAAAUAUUCUACGUUAAGAAAUAUUCUACGUUAAGUCUACGGAUAAUAUCAUCGAAAUUUAAAAAAAAAUUAACUACACCACUAGAGUAUAAAUGGAUUGAAAAAAUAA